GUAGUUCCUGGAGAAAGGAACAAAAAGCAUACACUUUAAAAAAAAACCAUUCUGUUAUCACAAUUGAGCACUUUUUUUUGAGAUCUAAAAAGAUAGCUGCAAGAAUAUCUUUUACAAGUCAGACACAGUGGUGCACGCCUUUAAUCCCAACAUUCUGGAAACAGGCAGGCAGAUCUCUGGGAAUUUGAGGUCAGCCUGAUCUACACCAGAUGCUGUCUCAAACAAACACACCAAAGAAUUAUCCUUGCUAAACUGGUGUACACUUGCAUUCCUAGUACCGGGAAGGUUGAAACAGGAGGAUUGCUUUGAAUUUGAGGCCAGCCUUGACAAUACAGGAAGUAUUAGUCCAGCCAAGACUACAAAACAAGUCCAGGCCCCACAAAACAAAAUACCUCUCUAAGUCACACAGCCAUAAAGAGCCCUAGAUUUUGCAGAGUAGUCUUAAAUAUCCAUAUGCAUUAAGGCUGGAUGACACCAUUAAUGUGCACUGUCCUACAAAACAGAGAUGAGGUUGAUGAAUGUAGUUUUGCAUUCCAUUCUAAAUUAACAUGAAAGACAAAAUCUCAUUGGAACUGGAAAGAUGGAUGGAUAAAGAGUCUAGGAAGAAAGUCUAGUAUCAACUAGUUUCAUGGUUGCAGCUAUCUACAGAUCUGAUGGUACCUGACAAUUGAAUGUGAUAGCAAGACCAAAAUGGGUACAAGAAGGAAACAGCCUGGCAUUGGUGGCACAUGCCACCAGCACAUGGGAGGCAGAGGCAGGCAGAUCUCUGUGAAUUUGAGGCCAGCCUGGUCUAUAGAGUGAGUGCCAAGAUAGGCUUCACAAAGCUACACAGAGAAACCCUGUCUCCAAAAAAGAAAAAAAAAAAAAGGAAACAAAACCAAAUAAGAUGUCAAGCCAUUAGCACCCACAAAAUAGUGUCUUCUAUUCUGGCAUUCUUUGGAUAAAUAUAUCCAUAACAUGUAACCAUCUCUAGAAUAAGCCUGGGGAAAAUGGGUGGCCUGCCUAGCUAGGCACCCUGAUCCCUGUGAGCCACUGUUCAACUUGCCUAAUAAAUCAGCCAAAGCCAUCAUGUGCAGAAACCAGCUAUAGAGUACUAUGCCCAUGCUAUGUCAUUGCUAUUGGUAGGCUGAUCAGACUCAAGAGUGUAGGGGACAGCCACUUGGGGUGAAAAAUACCACAGAAAUUGGAAUCUGGCCUACCUCAGAGCCUGCCCUGCUCCAUGUUUCUGUGUGCCUGGACAACCAUUCCCACUUGCUAUGAAACACACACUCCAACACAGCAGAUGACUGCUCACCCCCACCCACAAGGUGACUGUUCACUUCUACAGCUUGCUGUUGGGGGGUGGGAGGGAAGUGAUCUAUUGGGCCAUUUGAUGGUAUACCUGGGCAUUCUUCACAUAUAAUGGAGUAACACUGGAGUCAUGCUUUAGAUCUCCAAACCAUGAGCAGCUGUGAGUCUUAUGGACAUUUAGGUGGCUAUCACCAGAAUAGUGACUUAGCAACUAACCCCCCUACAUAAGGCACUAGUAAUGAAUGAAUAAUCAAAAAAAUUGUUUUAUUAGCAACAAUUUAGAUAGCUGUUUCCUCAUAGAGAAAACAGCCAUGUAGUCCACAAGAUAGAGUACUUCAAUACAGAAUUAAACAAAAGAAGGCUGACAUGCCCCUACAAUUUUAAUUUCUAUCUUUGUUUACUUUGUUUUACAAGUUGUUUGCUUAUAAAAGGAAUGAGCCAAAUGGAAUUAAAAGACUAUAAAUCUUUUUAUAAUCUUUCCCACAUCCCAUUUUUAUCAUAUUCCAGACCAGCAUGGUUGAUUUAACCAACAGUGAUAUGGAAGAUCUGGCACCCUGGAGCCCAGCAUACAUAAUUGACUGAUCCAGACACACCAGCAUCCACUGGGAAAUGAAGCACCAUGGUCCAUGUGCACAAGUUCCAGUAAGAAAAUGUCAUCUUUAACAUUUUUUAAGGCUGCAGCAAUUAAGACAAGAUUCUGCAAGAGCAAGAACAAUUGCCUGGCAACAGCACCUCCAUCAAUGAGCUGACAUCAAGUUCUGCCUCAGGUCCCCCAGACCAACAAGCUUCCUGUCUAGUAAGCUCAGUGAAUUUUCCCUGUUGGCCUUGCCUCAACCUCCAUGAAUGUGCUCAAGGUUAACAAAGGCACAUGGGUUGUCCACAUGAUGUUUUGCUCUUCUGGGUGAAUGCUAGAAACACCUCUCUGCUUUAGAGACACUCUGAUUUCUUAGUCUGACAUGAGUCAAAGCAGAAAACAAGACAUUCUAGUAUUAUUUUCAUCCCUGUCUAUUAUUGUUACUUUUUUUUUUUCAUUUCAUUGAUCAGAAAAGUACGUAGGGCAGCAAAUAACAAUUGUAACUAUCAGUAGCAACUAAAAUAAAACUUCUAUAGCAAUAAAAGAA